AAAACUGAUUCAAGUUAGUUAUACCGAAUAUGUCCUCUAAGUGGCUUAUAUUAUUGCAAUUGAAACUGCUUUUAAUAUCGAUGCAAAUGUGGAAAGCAGAAGGCGAUUGCUGUCAUCGAAAAUCCAUGGAAUUUGCAAUAUCUGAACACAAGACAUGCGAGGAAUACGAUGGUGUAGAAAAUGGUAAAGGAACAUGUGUUAGUUUAAUUUGUGACGACUUAACCAAACCAACGCCUUGCUGUGGAAUGACCGAUUGUGACCACAUGUGUUGCAACUGCAACUGUCGAAAACUAAAUAUCACAACUAUUUUAAAGCGUAGCUUUAAAACCCUAGGAAUCAAAUUACUUAAAAUUGAUAAUGUUGAAAGCAGAAAGAUUCGAAAACGUCACCAUGUUCACUGUUAAGAUUGGAAUAACUAAAUAAACUUCCAAAAAAUUCUGUACAAGUGUGAAUAACUAUAAAAUUAAAUAAAGCCCGUUGGACAACAAAUUAA